rnacentral:rRNA from 1 species
GAUGAGCAUGCGUCCCAUUAGCUAGAUGGUAAGGUAACGGCUUACCAUGGCAACGAUGGGUAGGGGUCCUGAGAGGGAGAUCCCCCACACUGGUACUGAGACACGGACCAGACUCCUACGGGAGGCAGCAGUGAGGAAUAUUGGUCAAUGGGCGCAAGCCUGAACCAGCCAUGCCGCGUGCAGGAUGACGGUCCUAUGGAUUGUAAACUGCUUUUGUACAGGAAGAAACAGUUCUACGUGUAGAACCUUGACGGUACUGUAAGAAUAAGGAUCGGCUAACUCCGUGCCAGCAGCCGCGGUAAUACGGAGGAUCCAAGCGUUAUCCGGAAUCAUUGGGUUUAAAGGGUCCGUAGGCGGUUUUGUGAGUCAGUGGUGAAAGCCCAUCGCUCAACGGUGGAACGGCCAUUGAUACUGCAAGACUUGAAUUAUUAGGAAGUAACUAGAAUAUGUAGUGUAGCGGUGAAAUGCUUAGAUAUUACAUGGAAUACCAAUUGCGAANGCAGGUUACUACUAAUG